AUGGAAAACACAAACAAUGACAGCUCCGAAACACAUAUAAUGAUGGAUGUACGCUUGUUGUUAGCUAAAAUGGAUAAACAUAAAGCAAAGCAGUAUAAGACUGAAAAGAGGGAUUUUAAGAAGGAGAUUAUCAAGUUGAUGAAGAAACAAGCAAAUGAAGAGAAUCUGAUGUCUGAGGAAGCUUCAAAGGUUCAGAAGUCUGAAGGAAUAGACACAUCUGCUAGGGCCUCCAAAGUGGAAGAAGAGAGGGAUACAAAAUAA